CCCACUCUUCCUGCGCCUCUCCCCUUCUCUCUGCCUAUCUCCCUUGCUUGCCUCACGUCUUUUUCCGCUGCUCCUUCCUUUCUUUUUUUUAAUAUUUUUUUCUUUUCUUUGACGCUGCUCAAGCAGCUCUUUUCUUCUCCCCGCUAUCCCCCUUGCGUCUCUUGGAUUCCCUUUUCCGUCCCCCGUGUGGACUCCUCUUAUUCUUCUUUUAAUUUUUUUUAUUCCUUCUUUUCUUUUUUUAUUCCUUUCUUUUCUUUUUUUAUUCCUUU
rnacentral:lncRNA from 1 species